UCAACUGAUUUGAAGAGCUUGCUCAGAUAUGACGAUGGACAUUGCAAAGAGUGGCGAACGGGUGAGUAACACGUGGGAAACCUACCUCUUAGCAGGGGAUAACAUUUGGAAACAGAUGCUAAUACCGUAUAACAAUGACAACCGCAUGGUUGUUAUUUAAAAGAUGGUUCUGCUAUCACUAAGAGAUGGUCCCGCGGUGCAUUAGCUAGUUGGUAAGGUAAUGGCUUACCAAGGCGAUGAUGCAUAGCCGAGUUGAGAGACUGAUCGGCCACAAUGGGACUGAGACACGGCCCAUACUCCUACGGGAGGCAGCAGUAGGGAAUCUUCCACAAUGGGCGAAAGCCUGAUGGAGCAACGCCGCGUGUGUGAUGAAGGGUUUCGGCUCGUAAAACACUGUUGUAAGAGAAGAAUGACAUUGAGAGUAACUGUUCAAUGUGUGACGGUAUCUUACCAGAAAGGAACGGCUAAAUACGUGCCAGCAGCCGCGGUAAUACGUAUGUUCCAAGCGUUAUCCGGAUUUAUUGGGCGUAAAGCGAGCGCAGACGGUUAUUUAAGUCUGAAGUGAAAGCCCUCAGCUCAACUGAGGAAUUGCUUUGGAAACUGGAUGACUUGAGUGCAGUAGAGGAAAGUGGAACUCCAUGUGUAGCGGUGAAAUGCGUAGAUAUAUGGAAGAACACCAGUGGCGAAAGCGGCUUUCUGGACUGUAACUGACGUUGAGGCUCGAAAGUGUGGGUAGCAAACAGGAUUAGAUACCCUGGUAGUCCACACCGUAAACGAUGAGUGCUAGGUGUUUGAGGGUUUCCGCCCUUAAGUGCCGCAGCUAACGCAUUAAAGCACUCCGCCUGGGGAGUACGACCGCAAGGUUGAAACUCAAAGGAAUUGACGGGGACCCGCACAAGCGGUGGAGCAUGUGGUUUAAUUCGAAGCAACGCGAAGAACCUUACCAGGUCUUGACAUCCCUUGACAACUCCAGAGAUGGAGUGUUCCCUUCGGGGACAAGGUGACAGGUGGUGCAUGGUUGUCGUCAGCUCGUGUCGUGAGAUGUUGGGUUAAGUCCCGCAACGAGCGCAACCCUUAUUACUAGUUGCCAGCAUUCAGUUGGGCACUCUAGUGAGACUGCCGGUGACAAACCGGAGGAAGGUGGGGAUGACGUCAAAUCAUCAUGCCCCUUAUGACCUGGGCUACACACGUGCUACAAUGGCGUAUACAACGAGUUGCCAACCCGCGAGGGUGAGCUAAUCUCUUAAAGUACGUCUCAGUUCGGAUUGUAGGCUGCAACUCGCCUACAUGAAGUCGGAAUCGCUAGUAAUCGCGGAUCAGCACGCCGCGGUGAAUACGUUCCCGGGUCUUGUACACACCGCCCGUCACACCA
rnacentral:rRNA from 1 species